UACAGAGGGUGCAAGCGUUAAUCGGAAUUACUGGGCGUAAAGCGCGUGUAGGUGGAUGAGCAAGUUGGAUGUGAAAGCCCCGGGCUCAACCUGGGAAUGCCAUUCAAAACUGCUCGUCUAGAGUAUGGUAGAGGGAAGUGGAAUUUCAGGUGUAGCGGUGAAAUGCGUAGAUAUCUGAAGGAACACCAGUGGCGAAGGCGGCUUCCUGGACCAAUACUGACACUGAGACGCGAAAGCGUGGGUAGCGAACAGG
rnacentral:rRNA from 1 species